UGUAAUGUGUAAGUAUGUCUAUUUGUAUAUAUACAUAUAGGUAAGAUAUAUUUAUUUAUUUAAUUUGUAGAAUUAAAUAUAUAUAUAUAAAUAGAUAGACCGACACGAACCACACUCCAUACCAGUAAGUGGCGGUAAUGCUACUAAAAGUUUGUUGCCAACCACCAAUAACACCAACAAGAAGAAGAAGAAGAACUCACGGUCAGAGUGUUGCCCUUACUGGGACAGCUCAAGCCACAUUACCUUUGUCUUGACCUUACACUUUUGGUAAUUUUGUAUUUGUUACCUUGCAAGUUAACCUGAACCUGACUUUGCCUUCUGCAUUGAACCCUGCCUGGAUUACCAUCUUCUGGAAAAAAGCUAUUCAGCUCCAUGAACAAAGACUCAAGCCUCUUAUUAUUUUGUUGGAUCACACCGGCUGGCAGCCUCCUGAUUCCUUCGUUCCUUGGAUCUCCUAUGAAUCCUGUUCACCCUCCUCCAUCCACUGCACCAACUUCAGAACCUCUUGGACCUACUAAACAUCCUGGCACACCAGUAUUCACCAUCUCCCGUCUCACGGGUAAACAACCCCUUGGUCUCUCCAUCCCCCUCUGGUGGAUCUCUCCAUCAAUCCAUUGGUAUCUCGGUUCCAGUUCCCUGCACAUUUCAUUACACUGUAAGUAAACUCAUUACCGUUAAACUCAGUCUCCUGAAUUGCUUUCUGCAUGUGGGUCAAAUCUGUUCGAAACAAUAUGACACCUGAGUGCAGGAGCCUCCAACCUGGUCCUCAGAACACACUGUCCUGUGUGUUUUAGAUAUGCCUCAGCUAAAGCACACCUCAGCAGCCUUCAAGGACUGCAGAGGCCUGUUAAUCAGCCUCUUAUUUCAGCCAGGUGUGUGAAGGUAGAGAAACACCUAAAACAUGGUGGACAGUGGGUACCAAGGACCAUGCCUGCCUCAGCAACUGCGACAGUGUAAAGCAUAGAGAUAGUAAAAAUGGAGCCUGAACAGACCUUUCAGGUUAAUCCUGCUGUCUCUACUGUAAAUGGCUGUACAUGGUCUUUAAUCCCCUCUUUACAUACUCCUGAUGGCUUAUAAUCUUGUUUUGUUUAAAAUGUUGUUGUUUUAUCUUGUCUUAUUCCCAUUCCAAUGUCCAUAGACGUAAAAAGAAAAUCGAACACUGUUAAAAAUGCAUUGAUGACUAAUACAUUUGCUUAAUAUAUUAGUAACAUGUUGUGCCCCAGCCAUGAGAUCUUUCUCAUUGGCCCGCACCAGCACAGCUGACGCAUUGGGGAGGCAGGGCUCAAGAACCGUCUGAAUGUCUUUGAAACUCGUUAGCAGGUAAGACCCUACUUUUUCGAAGAAUCCUUGGAUCCAAAGUUGACCACGAUCUGGCGUUCGUGUACCUGCCGAUUGAAGAACAACCAAAAGUUAAGUAAUGGUAUGUUGUUCGAGUACCCAGUGAUCCUGCUACGGGGUUCCCCCAGAACCUCUGGAAUGGUGUCUCUAAUCACAUCGAGUGAAGCAGUUUCCUCCCUGCCUGAGAGGAGACAGAGGAGGAACCAUCGCCUCGCAUGCCUUCCUGUGUGCCUGUCCGGGUAGCAGGAGCCCAUAGACGUUCCUCUCCACCAUUUUAAUAGCCCAUAACUCCAUGUGAUGGCUAGUUAAAAAAAAAACACUAAAAUUAAUUGCCCAAAAGAUUAUUGAUUUCUAAUUCAGCAAAUUAUAUUUAAUAGAUACAAAUGGCUGAACAACAUUAAUAUCAAUUAUCCAAAUGUUAUUGAUUUCUAAUUCAGAAAAUAUUUCUUUAAAUAAUAUUUUUACUAAAAUAAUGAUGGCUGUCUAAAACAUUUAGAAUCAAUUGUCCAAAAAGUGUAUUGAUUUCUAAGUUGGCAAAUAGUACAUUAAAAUGUUUUAACCUUCUGAUUUGUAUUGUGACUGGUUGUUUGCAGACAUCCCAGUUGUUGUCCUUUUAAAUAGUUUUAAAAAUAAUUUGACCUCAUUCCCAAAUUCCUCAAGAUAAACCUUGGCUCUCAAACAGAAAUAUCCAUGUUGAACUGUCAUGACAGUGUGCCGAGAGUCAGGUGUUUUCUCCAGGUAUACUGGGCGUCGAAUUCCCAGUCAGCUGACAGCUGGGGAGCAAGCCAGCUGCAAUUAAGCAACAUCUUGAUAAACUGAGCAGAUAUUUCAGGUUUACACAGCUACAUUCUCACCUAAAAACAUUGUAAAAGUUCAUUUUGUUUUUCAAAAAGCAUAAUUUUUAUACAGUUUUUCUCUCUCCUCCACCAUUGCUGCCUCUGUCUAAACAAUCUGCUUCAACCCGCAAUGAAGAAUACACCGGACUCAUUCUUCAAAUCUUGGAACAAAAAAAAAGACAUUUGUCGGCCAUAUUUGGAGGAGUCUUAGAAUUUGAACAGCCUUUGCUGCAUCACUGUGACGUAUUCGGCCUAUAAAUGCGGCCUUCGAAGGAUGCGGACCCUGAAUUUGGAAACAGCCAACGUGUAUCUGGAAAUGAAGAAACAAAGAAGGCGUGACAGAGAAAGAGGGGGCAGUCUUUGGAACAGUGUCACCACCUCAGCUUCUGGCCCGGUGGCUGAGGUCAAGCCUCUAGGUAGUAGGUUAUGGGCACCGAUUGGAGGAUGGAGUUUCCGAAGAAGCAAAUCACACAGAUUAUGUGGACCUUCUGAAAGCGAAGCUGCAUAGAGUUGAUACGCUGAAACUAUUGAAGUAACAAGGCUUGCAGGAUGGCUUACAGAACUACAGGACUAAUGGCGUCACCACAACUUCUUUUUGACGGCUCUUAAUAUAAGUAUGACUUGUGGGACACAAGAUUUCUUGCCCAUUUAGACAUUUUAUAAAUAAAGAAUACUUUAGUAGAAUUUAGCUUUACACUGCCUUGUCAACACUGUAGCCUAUACCUCUAAUACACAAAACGGUGCAUUUUUAACUACAAUAAAAACUGGAUUUAACAUCCUGUACAUUUGUUGCCAUACAAAUCUAUAGCAACUCCACAUUGGGCUCUCUCAAUUCAUACUUCUGUGCACAUACACAAUUUAAAUAUUGCUGUUGUGUUUAGUGUGUUAGUGUGUUUUGUCAUUGUAAAGAGUAAUUUUGUCAUAGUGUAUCAUUGUAAUAUUCACUAAUGUUUAAGUAAACAAAGUAAAAUGACUGUAUUGAUGGAGGACACAAGCUCUUGAGCUAAUCGAGUACACUACUGGGCAUUUCAUGGGAGCAAAAAAUAGCAUUUCUUAGACCUGAAAAUGAGUAUCACUAUUGUUCAAAAUGUUUCUUUUGCAUCAUCUUACACACAACUCCAAGCUCUCCUCAAUGUUUGGACUGGAUGGGAAGUCCUGCCAAGAGAAAUAAUUGUAGUAGUAAACAGCAGUCUCCCAAAGUCUUUCACCUGCUUUGAAGUACUACGCUUUCCUAUGCACUACAAGAACUAAGAAGCAUUUUUGAUGGAUUUUCAAGAGUGUCUCAACUCCUCUGUCUCAGGUAUUAGUUUGGUUUAGUAUAUAUUCUAAGACUUGAUUUGAUUGGGGUUUCUUCUUUAUUAAUUUAGCAAAGCCAGUAUAAACUAUAGUAUCCAAAAAGCUACAUAAAUCUGAUACUUUUAUCUCAACCUGGAAAGCUAAAUAAAACUUUUAUAAUCAGUUCCUAAAAAUCUGUUUUAAAUCUGGUCUCAGACAUUUAAGUAUAUUGUACAUUAUAAAUUACAUCAUCUCUUGUUAUGAAGGCAAAAUAAUAUUGCUAGGGAAGCUUGUAGCGCAGCUGAACUACAUGCAUUUGGUGAAAUCUGCUCAGGGUUGUCAUGUAAUAUAAAUUCAACUAAUAAAUUUUGUAUCACAGAAGUGA